UCAUAUCCCGAGCAGUCUCCGGAACACAGCAAGACGAACACACUAUGACUUCCGUGAUGAUCCAUGUUCCAAAGUUUUCAUGAAGCUGUCACCGUAAAGGAGGACAAGCCAGGCAGGCGCAAUCCUACCACACAGCCCCAUUACAUUCGUCCCCACCUACUGCUUUGCGGAUUCUGUCCAGGGGCAGCCCUUCAGCAGCCUGCUGGCAUCUACUUCCUGCUUCUGGGAGUCUGACUACUGGGAGCCCACCCU